rnacentral:tRNA from 1 species
GCCUCGGUAGCGCAGUAGGCAGCGCGUUAAGUCUCAUAAUCUUAAGGUCGUGAGUUCGAUCCUCACCCGGGGGCA